AUGGAUCGGAUGGAGUACAUGUCUAUUGGAUCAAUGCGAGCCAUCAGGUUGAGUGUCCAAUCUAAAAUUGUUCCAUUGUUACUUUGCAAAUUGAAAACAAAAAUUGUCAGUUAUUCAGAUCACUUGAGAAAUAUGACUCAUGACUUGCUAAUAAGUUCUAUUGGGGAGGUAUGGGGCUCUUUAAAGUUAUCACGUGUCAUAUGCUUGCGCGUUAUCAUGUCUGAAUAUCUGAUAACUGACUUCUGUCACUGUUGUUCGUUAAACAAUGGUGCUCGGAUUACAAGUCGAUGGCAGUUUUGUGUUAGUUUUUCCUCAUAUUUUAGGAAUGUUAAUACUGGUCAUGCAUUAUUUUUGAAGUCAUGCAUUGUGCCUACUAAUUUUUGGUUAAUGUUCUGGUUAUACAGAAAGUUUUUCCUCAAAAGAUACUCCCUCCGUCCCAUAAUAUAA
rnacentral:rRNA from 1 species